rnacentral:rRNA from 1 species
AUUGAACGCUGGCGGCAGGCUUAACACAUGCAAGUCGAGCGGAGAUGAGGUGCUUGCACCUUAUCUUAGCGGCGGACGGGUGAGUAAUGCUUAGGAAUCUGCCUAUUAGUGGGGGACAACAUUCCGAAAGGAAUGCUAAUACCGCAUACGCCCUACGGGGGAAAGCAGGGGAUCUUCGGACCUUGCGCUAAUAGAUGAGCCUAAGUCGGAUUAGCUAGUUGGUGGGGUAAAGGCCUACCAAGGCGACGAUCUGUAGCGGGUCUGAGAGGAUGAUCCGCCACACUGGGACUGAGACACGGCCCAGACUCCUACGGGAGGCAGCAGUGGGGAAUAUUGGACAAUGGGGGGAACCCUGAUCUGGCCAUGCUGCGUGUGUGAAGAAGGCCUUUUGGUUGUAAAGCACUUUAAGCGAGGAGGAGGCUACCGAGAUUAAUACUCUUGGAUAGUGGACGUUACUCGCAGAAUAAGCACCGGCUAACUCUGUGCCAGCCGCCGCUGUAAAAC